rnacentral:rRNA from 1 species
GACGAACGCUGGCGGCGUGCCUAACACAUGCAAGUCGAACGAUGAAGCCGGAGCUUGCUCCGGUGGAUUAGUGGCGAACGGGUGAGUAACACGUGAGCAAUCCGCCCUUGACUCUGGGAUAACUGCGGGAAACUGUAGCUAAUACCGGAUACGACACCUUGGGGCAUCCCAGGGUGUGGAAAGAAUUUCGGUCAAGGAUGAGCUCGCGGCCUAUCAGCUAGUUGGUGAGGUAAUGGCUCACCAAGGCGACGACGGGUAGCCGGCCUGAGAGGGUGACCGGCCACACUGGAACUGAGACACGGUCCAGACUCCUACGGGAGGCAGCAGUGGGGAAUAUUGCACAAUGGGUGAAAGCCUGAUGCAGCAACGCCGCGUGAGGGAUGAAGGCCUUCGGGUUGUAAACCUCUUUUAGCAGGGAAGAAGCGAAAGUGACGGUACCUGCAGAAAAAGCACCGGCUAACUACGUGCCAGCAGCCGCGGUAA